rnacentral:rRNA from 1 species
CGGGGUGUGGCGUGCUUAACUAUGCAAGUCGAACGAGGCUCUUAUUUCGGUAAGGGCUUAGUGGAAACGGGUGAGUAACGCUUAGGUAACCUGCCUCCAGAUGGGGACAACACUCCGAAAGGGGUGCUAAUACCGAAUGUUGUAAUGCUGCUGCAUGGCAGUAUUACCAAAGGUGGCUUUUAGCUAUCGCUUGGAUAUGGGCCUGCGUCUGAUUAGCUGGUUGGUGACGGUAACGGCGCACCAAGGCGACGAUCAGUAACCGGUCUGAGAGGAUGAACGGCCACAUUGGGACUGAGACACGGCCCAAACUCCUACGGGAGGCAGCAGUGGGGAAUCUUCCGCAUUGGGCGAAAGCCUGACGGAGCAACGCCGCGUGAACGAGGAAGGUCUUCGGAUCGUAAAGUUCUGUUGCAGGGGACGAACGGCACUAUAGCCAAUAAGUAUAGUGAAUGACGGUACCCUGUUAGAAAGCCACGGCUAACUACGUGCCAGCAGCCGCGGUAAUACGUAGGCGGCAAGCGUUGUCCGGAAUCAUUGGGCGUAAAGGGAGCGCAGGCGGAACAUUAAGCGGAUCUUAAAAGUGCGGGGCUCAACCCCGUGAUGGGGUCCGAACUGAGGUUCUUGAGUGCAGGAGAGGAAAGCGGAAUUCCCAGUGUAGCGGUGAAAUGCGUAGAUAUUGGGAAGAACACCAGUGGCGAAGGCGGCUUUCUGGACUGUAACUGACGCUGAGGCUCGAAAGCCAGGGUAGCGAACGGGAUUAGAUACCCCGGGUAGUCCUGGCCGUAAACGAUGGAUACUAGGUGUAGGGGGUAUCGACCCCUCCUGUGCCGGAGCAAACGCUAUAAGUAUCCCCGCCUGGGGAGUACGACCGCAAGGUUGAUACUCAAGGAAUUGACGGGUGCCCGCACAAGCUGUGGAGUAUGUGGGU